GUACGCAGCUCCGAGCGCUCUGAUUGGUCCAAAUCAGCUACGUACGUGUAUCGGCGUGGUCACGUUUUUGCAGCGUGCUCCGCGUCCAGCAUGUUACACUGCACAUCGUCUUACUAAAAGGGCAACCGAGGCUUAAUAAGGGAGGACGAGCUCUGGAGCACCACGGCGGUGUGCAUGUAAAGGCGCAGUCGACAGCUGCCCACCUCCACCGCUCUCACCUGAGUUAGUCAGCGAGAUGUGCUGCAUUGCAUCAAGAGCCCGUGGCAGACUGCUGGAGAGGAACCCAGUCUACGUCAAAGGCGGCUGCAGAGGAUGAGAAAUCCAGUGUAGUAAGUUCCUCCUCAGUUCACUGGUGAUGCAGAGUCAUGCAAAGAAAAAAUAUGGAAGGGCCUCUGGCAUCGCAGGCGGCGCGGACAGAUGGUUGGUCCAGCUCAGACGUACAAGGAGAAGCCCCAGCAGAAUGGAUGAAUCAUCAUUUCACCAACUGUUCCUCUCAGCGUGCACUCAGGAUCCAGCUCGCUCACUUUUUUUCUGUGUGUGUGUGUGUGUGUGUGUGUGCUCCUGACAAGAAAUAAUAAAAUUAUGGCGAAUGAAUUGUUCAGCAGCAUCACGAUGAAACCUUGAGGCGGGGAUGCAGAGAUGGAGUCUCAGAAAGCUCGGAGCAGUACCAUGUUAAUUGGGAUAUGCCUUAAAAUUAAACCUAAAUGUCACUAAAACAAACAUUUUUUAUCAUUUUUUCAUUCUGAAAAGGAGUGAAGUUUAAAUUUAUCCACUUUUUAUUUUAUUUUUUACUACCAUUUCAUUGUAUUUGGCAGUGCAGCAGUAAAUGGAACAAUAGAAAACUGCAUCGUGGCCUACAGUUAUCUAGAAAAUGAUUCAUAGUGACAAAAAACCCCAUAUUUAUUCUGCAUCAGUGUCCUAUUUCUGUCAUCCAUCCUCCCUGCCGUGGGAUCUGAGUUCCAUGUGCUGCAAUAAAAACGUCGCUUGAG